UGGGGAAUAUUGGACAAUGGGCGGAAGCCUGAUCCAGCCAUGCCGCGUGUGUGAAGAAGGCCUUUUGGUUGUAAAGCACUUUAAGCGAGGAGGAGGCUACUUGGAUUAAUACUCUAGGAUAGUGGACGUUACUCGCAGAAUAAGCACAGGCUAACUCUGUGACAGCAGCCGCGGUAAUACAGAGGGUGCGAGCGUUAAUCGGAUUUACUGGGCGUAAAGCGUGCGUAGGCGGCUUCUUAAGUCGGAUGUGAAAUCACUGAGCUUAACUUAGGAAUUGCAUUCGAUACUGUGAAGCUAGCGUAUGGGAGAGGAUGGUAUAAUUCCGGGUGUAGCGGUGAAAUGCGUAGAGAUCUGGAGGAAUACCGAUGGCGAAGGCAGCCAUCUGGCCUAAUACUGACGCUUAGGUACGAUAGCAUGGGGAGCAAACAGG
rnacentral:rRNA from 1 species